rfam:Eubacterium sp. CAG:603 genomic scaffold, scf53
GGGGUUGUACUGGUUUCGACGGGGUUUUAGAAGUUAGGAUAGCCACCCGUGGACUAGGACCACGUAAAAACUUAGAAAUUAAAUAUAAACGCAAACGAAAAUUUAGCGUACGCUGCCUAGUGGCAGCUGUCGACCUUAAGUCACUCGCUGCUUAAGAGUUCGGCAUCGACUUUGCGAGGCACUCUUUUACCAAAGCUUUGAGGUAUCAGAAGAAUUUAUGAAGCUACUAAGUUCGUAAGCCUGUCUGUGGGCGUAUGAAUGAGGGAAUGUUAAAACAUAGACUGUGGUGGAAGAAGUCUUAAUGGAAGAGGCUUCGGACAGGGGUUCGAUUCCCCUCAGCUCCAUUU